rnacentral:rRNA from 1 species
GACGAACGCUGGCGGCGUGCUUAACACAUGCAAGUCGAACGAAGUGGCGAACGGGUGAGUAACGCGUAAUCAACCUGCCCUUCAGAGGGGGACAACAGUUGGAAACGACUGCUAAUACCGCAUACUGAAGGAGGGGAUUGCGUCUGAUUAGCUAGUUGGAGGGGUAACGGCCCACCAAGGCGAUGAUCAGUAGCCGGUCCGAGAGGAUGAACGCCCACAGUGUGACUGUGGCACGGCCCAGACUCCUACGGGAGGCAGCAGUUGGGAAACUUCCGCAAUGGACGAAGGUCUGACGGAGCAACGCCGCGUGAGUGAUAACGGCCUUCGGGUUGUAAAGAUCUGUUAAUCUAGACGCAGUACCGGGAUAGAAAGCCACGGCUAACUACGUGCCAGCAGCCGCGGUAAUUC